CUACGGGAGGCAGCAGUGGGGAAUUUUGGACAAUGGGCGCAAGCCUGAUCCAGCCAUGCCGCGUGCAGGAUGAAGGCCUUCGGGUUGUAAACUGCUUUUGUACGGAACGAAAAGGUCUGCCCUAAUACGGCGGGCCCAUGACGGUACCGUAAGAAUAAGCACCGGCUAACUACGUGCCAGCAGCCGCGGUAAUACGUAGGGUGCAAGCGUUAAUCGGAAUUACUGGGCGUAAAGCGUGCGCAGGCGGUAAUGUAAGACAGAUGUGAAAUCCCCGGGCUCAACCUGGGAACUGCAUUUGUGACUGCAUUGCUGGAGUGCGGCAGAGGGGGAUGGAAUUCCGCGUGUAGCAGUGAAAUGCGUAGAUAUGCGGAGGAACACCGAUGGCGAAGGCAAUCCCCUGGGCCUGCACUGACGCUCAUGCACGAAAGCGUGGGGAGCAAACAGGAUUAGAUACCCUAGUAU
rnacentral:rRNA from 1 species